GCCUUGAUACCAGAACAGCACUGCUGUUUAUUUAGCACACCUGUGUUAUUUAGCACACUGUUUGUGCUUCUGUUCCUCCUGCAGGAGACGUACACAUCCUUCUGAAGCAGCUUGUGCUGUUUGGUUUUGAUGAGCAGGCUGAGGGGCUGCAGCAAGCCCUGGAAGAAGUUCUGCAGUUGAUGGAGGCCUCAAUCCCAGAAAUCUGGACUCCAGCCUUGCAGCAGAGUUCUCUCAACCCGGUCCUGGGACCCAACUCAACUGCAAACAGCAUCAUGGCUGCCUAUCAGCAGAAGAGGAUGGUGGUUCCUGCUGUACAAGGUGAGUUCAGGUUCCUGGUUAGGUGUGACUGUGUAGCAUCAUUGUG
rnacentral:lncRNA from 1 species